CGUUUAUUUGAUAGUACCUUACUACAUGGAUAACCGUGGUAAUUCUAGAGCUAAUACAUGCUAAAAACCUCGACUUCGGAAGGGGUGUAUUUAUUAGAUAAAAAACCAAUGCCCUUCGGGGCUCCUUGGUGAAUCAUAAUAACUUAACGAAUCGCAUGGCCUUGCGCCGGCGAUGGUUCAUUCAAAUUUCUGCCCUAUCAACUUUCGAUGGUAGGAUAGUGGCCUACCAUGGUAUCAACGGGUAACGGGGAAUUAGGGUUCGACUCCGGAGAGGGAGCCUGAGAAACGGCUACCACAUCCAAGGAAGGCAGCAGGCGCGCAAAUUACCCAAUCCCGACACGGGGAGGUAGUGACAAUAAAUACUGAUACAGGGCUCUUUUGGGUCUUGUAAUUGGAAUGAGUACAAUUUAAAUCCCUUAACGAGGAACAAUUGGAGGGCAAGUCUGGUGCCAGCAGCCGCGGUAAUUCCAGCUCCAAUAGCGUAUAUUAAAGUUGUUGCAGUUAAAAAGCUCGUAGUUGAACCUUGGGCCUGGCUGGCCGGUCCGCCUCACCGCGUGUACUGGUCCGGCCGGGCCUUUCCUUCUGGGGAACCUCAUGCCCUUCGCUGGGCGUGUUGGGGAACCAGGACUUUUACUUUGAAAAAAUUAGAGUGUUCAAAGCAGGCCUUUGCUCGAAUACAUUAGCAUGGAAUAAUAGAAUAGGACGUGUGGUUCUAUUUUGUUGGUUUCUAGGACCGCCGUAAUGAUUAAUAGGGAUAGUCGGGGGCAUCAGUAUUCAAUCGUCAGAGGUGAAAUUCUUGGAUUGAUUGAAGACUAACUACUGCGAAAGCAUUUGCCAAGGAUGUUUUCAUUAAUCAGUGAACGAAAGUUAGGGGAUCGAAGACGAUCAGAUACCGUCGUAGUCUUAACCAUAAACUAUGCCGACUAGGGAUCGGACGGUGUUAGUAUUUUGACCCGUUCGGCACCUUACGAGAAAUCAAAGUUUUUGGGUUCUGGGGGGAGUAUGGUCGCAAGGCUGAAACUUAAAGGA
rnacentral:rRNA from 1 species